rnacentral:rRNA from 1 species
CUACCAUGGCAGUCACGGGUAACGGAGAAUUAGGGUUCGAUUCCGGAGAGGGAGCCUGAGAAACGGCUACCACAUCUACGGAAGGCAGCAGGAGCGAAAAUUGCCCAAUCCCGACACGGGGAGGCAGUGACGAGAAAUAACAACUCUUGGUUAUUCUAAGAAGUGUAAUGAGGAUAAUUUAAAACCCUUACCGAAAGCAAUUGGAGGGCAAGUCUGGUGCCAGCAGCCGCGGUAAUUCCAGCUCCAAUAGCGUAUAUUAAAGUUGUUGCAGUUAAAAAGCUCGUAGUUGAAGUUCUGGCUGUUUGACCCUCGAGCUCUGUAGCCGAGGGCUCAACAGUCAUCCGCUUGCAAACAUAUGUUCGCCUUUAACCGGGCGGCUAUGUGAGUAAGCAUUUUACCUUGAGAAAAACAGAGUGUUCCAGGCAGGUUUGUCCGGAAUGCAUUAACAUGGAAUAAUAGAAUAUGACUGAAGUCGAUUUAUUGGUUUGAGGCUUUAGUAAUGAUUAAUAGGAACAGUCGGGGGCAUUGGUACUUGACAGUCAGAGGUGAAAUUCUAGGAUUUGUCAAAGACUAACAAAUGCGAAAGCAUUUGCCAAGGAUGUUUUCAUUAAUCAAGAACGAAAGUUAGGGGACC